rnacentral:misc_RNA from 1 species
CAACCAUCAAGCCCCGCGCUUGUGUUGGGGACCUGCGGCUGCCGCAGGCCCUGAAAACCAGUGGCGGGCUCGCUGUCACACCGGGCGUAGUAGAUUUUAUCUCGCUCAGGGCGUGCUGCGGGUUCCGGCCGUUAAAAAGCCUUUUUUACCCAA